rnacentral:rRNA from 1 species
GACAGAGGUGCCAAGCGUUAGGCGGAAUCACUGGGCUUAAAGCGUGUGUAGGCGGAUGUCUAAGUACCUUGUGAAAUCCCACGGCUCAACCGUGGAACUGCUUGGUAUACUGGGUGUCUUGAGCUAUCUAGGGGCAACUGGAACAAACGGUGGAGCGGUGAAAUGCGUAGAUAUCGUUUGGAACGCCAAUGGUGAAAACAGGUUGCUGGGGAUAUGCUGACGCUGAGACACGAAAGCCAGGGGAGCAAACGGG